UACGUAGGGUGCAAGCGUUGUCCGGAAUUAUUGGGCGUAAAGAGCUCGUAGGCGGUUUGUCGCGUCUGCUGUGAAAACCCGAGGCUCAACCUCGGGCCUGCAGUGGGUACGGGCAGACUAGAGUGCGGUAGGGGGAGAUUGGAAUUCCUGGUGUAGCGGUGAAAUGCGCAGAUAUCAGGAGGAACACCGAUGGCGAAGGCAGGUCUCUGGGCCGAUACUGACGCUGAGGAGCGAAAGCGUGGGGAGCGAACAGG
rnacentral:rRNA from 1 species